rnacentral:lncRNA from 1 species
CAAGGAUUACACGAUGGAGGCAAAUUAACAGUCGAAGCAGUUUUGUAUAUUAUUAUGUAGAACAUUACUUGGUUACGAAUUGAAGUAUUAUAUGAGUAUGUGAUAUAUUAAAUGAAGGAUGCGUCAGAAUAGUAGGGGUUUAAUCUUUAUCACUGAUCAUGAUCAUGACGAAGUCUACAACACGUGGUUUUAAGAUUAACUAAUAUAGAGACACAUGUAUUGCUGAAUAAAUUAGCAUAUAGCAUAUAUGCGAGAAUAAUAAUUAUAUGUAUAAGCUUAUUUCUUUCAAAAUUUUACCAUGUUUACCACCUGAAAGUGUCGAAAUAUUUAAGUAGUUCAAAAAAUCUUUUUUGAACAGGGCAUACACAUCACAAUUUGUAGUUUUAUAAUUUGAACUGUGAGUGCACUUGUGGAUAGAAAAUGUAAUGAGUGUCACCAACAGAUUUAUAUCAUAAUAAUUGAUAUCACCGAUUUUAUAUCCUAUAAUGAGAUUUCUGUAGUUUAGGAUAUGAUGACCUAUUUUAACUUUAUUUAAUAGUAUUUUGAUCUUUUCCCAAAAAGUUUUAAAGUAACGACAUUCUAGGAAAAAAUGUUUAUAAUCUUCUGUUACAUUACAUAAGUCGCAUUUACUGUCUUCUUUUAUCUUCCAUUGAAAAAGCAAUUGUUUGCAAGGAAGGAUAUGAUGCAGCAAUUUCCAUUUAAAUAUUUUUAAUCUGUUAUCUUUUAAAUAAGUAAAUAUAAAGUUAAGCAUUGAUUUAAUUGGAAUUAACGAAUCUAAAUUUAGGACACGUUUCCAUUUAAAGAAACCUGGAGGCGUGUCUUCAUUUCCACUAUUAAUGUGUGUGUAUAUCUGUUUUGUUUCCAUUACUUGUAAAAUUAUUAUCUUAUUUUUUUCUUUUGUAUUGAUGCAAAGGUUAAGUUUAUUUUUUACUUUUGAUUUUAUUGAUUUUUCUGAUUUAAGUACCUUGAGCCAUUCAUUUGGUAAGGCAUAAUUAAGUUUUGAAAUUUCAAACAUUAAAUUGGAUUUUGAGGAUAUUUUAUUAGAUAUUAUUUCUUGAGAGAUAUUACCAUUUUGGUCUAUUAUAUCGUUAACGUAUAUAAUACCUUCUUUUAUCCAAUUUAUAAAAACUAAACACUUUCCUUGAAAUUUUAUCAGUUUGUUUCCCCAUAAGAUUUGUUGUCUAAUGUUUUUAAAAUUCAUAUUGAGUUUGGUAUUAUUUAAAUUUUGUACUUUGAACCAAGACUUUACAAUUUCUAAGUAGAAUUUUGGUAAAGUUUUAUGUAGGUUUUGUAUUGAGUAAAUGUUGUCUAGAUUCAUGUAAAGUAGCAUGAAAUUAGCACCAAAUUUAUUAAAGUAAAAUGUCGGAAUUACUUUCCAGUUAGCAAAAUCAUCUGCAGUAAGUCUUUUUAUCCAUGCUAUUUGUAGUGCAGUUAUAUAAUUGUCUAUAUCUGUCAUUUUAAGCCCUCCCUCAGUAGUAUUUUUGCUAAGGGUGGUUCGUUUGACCUUUUCUCGUUUACCAUCCCAUAUAAAAUUGUAGAUAAUAGUUUUAAACUGUUGAAUAAAUUCAUGUGGUAGGUUUGUGACUGAAGCUAAAUAUGUAAGGUUAGGUAUAAGAAGAGAUUUUACAACUGUUAUUUUACCUAUCAUUGUAAGAUUUCUUUUUUUCCAAUUACUUAUUAAUUUGUCACAUUUCUGUAUUAUUUUUUCAGUAUUCAGCUUAUCACAUUCAGCUCGAUCUGUUCCAAAAUAAACUCCUAGACUUUUUAUUGGUCCUUUAUUCCAUGUUAUAUUUUCAAACUUAUCUUUACAAUGUUUUAAUUUUCCUAACCAAAUGCCCUCAGUUUUUGAUCUAUUUAAUUUUAAACCUGAUAGCGUUCCAAAGAUUUCAAUAAUAUUAAGAGUGUGACGUACUUCAUCUUUUGAUUUUAGAAAAAGUGUUGUGUCGUCAGCUAAUUGAGAAAUCUUUAAACUGUGUGUUUUAGUAUCUAGCUUAAUUUGAAAACCUUUGAUGUUGUUGUCUUGUCUUAUUCUGCAGGACAAAAUUUCUACAGCAAUAACAAAAAUCAGGGAACUUAACGGGCAGCCUUGUCUAAUACCGCGUUUAAUGUUAUAUGGUGAUGAGACCCACCCAUUGUUUAACAUACAACCCGUUAUGUCUUUGUACAGAGUUUUAACCCAUUUGAUAAAAGGAUUUGGAAGGCCGAAUUUCUUGAGUGCUUCAUACAUAAAUGGCCAUUCCAAUGAGUCAAAGGCCUUGGAAAAAUCUAUGAAGAGCAAUGCUCCUUCAAUAUUAAAGUAUUCUGCAUGGUCUAUUAUGUCUUGAAUUUGACGAAUGUUGAAACCUAUAUAUCUAUUUUUUAUGUAACCAUUUUGGUCACUAUGGAUGAUUUUAGUUAGUAUUGGUUUAAGACGUUGUGCUAAAGAAUAUGCCAUAAGCUUUGUAUCAACAUUGAGUAAAGUAAUUGGUCUAUAGUUGUCUAAAAGAAGUGGGUUUCCCUUUUUAUAUAAUAAAGAGACUACUCCUAUUUUUUGUAGUGUGCUCAUUUCUUCCUUUUGAUAGCAUGUGUUAAAAACUUUAACAACAAUUUCUUUUAAAUUUGUCCAGAAGGUUCGAUAAAAUUCUACACUGAUCCCGUCGAUGCCCGGUGAUUUAUUUAAUUUCAUAGAUUUAAUAGCUUCUGUACAUUCUUUUAUGGUAAGCUCCCCUUCUAGAUUUUGAGUUUCCUCAUGAGAAAGAGUUUUAUCUACUUUUGUUUCUGUUAUAUAUUUUUUUAUUUCAUUUUCAUUAGGAUUUGUACUUUUAUAUAAAUUUUCAUAGAAGUUUUUUUCUAACUUUAAAAUUUCAGAUGAAUCUGUUAUAAUUUCUCCUUUUUCAUUCGUAAGUGCAGAAAUAUUUUUAUGAGUUUGUCUGGAUUUUUCAAGGCCUAUAAAAAAUUUUGUGUUUUUUUCUCCUUCUUCUGUCCAUUUUACACGUGAUCUAACCUGAGCUCCCUUUGCUUCAUUUAUGUAAAGGUUCUCUAGUUUUUUCUCAGCAUUGUUUAUUCUAUUUUGAACAUUAUUAUCCUGUAAGUUUUCUGCAUUUUCGUUCAAUUUUUUUAAUGACAGUUCUAAUUUAAUUAUUUCAUUUUUAUUUUCAGCUUGUUUUUGCCUACAGUAUUUAAUGGUUAUGUCUCUUACUUCAGCUUUAAAAACGUCCCACUUAACUCGAGGAUCUACAGCCGUAGUAAGUAUUUUUUGUUUAUAAGUUUGAAUUAAGUUAUUAAUGAGAUUUUGAUAUUUUGUGUCAUUCAAUAUACUGUUAUUAAUUUUAAAGAAACCUCGGCCUCUACUGUGUGCUUUGUGUCUUAGCUUUAAUGAAAUUGCCUGAUGAUCAGUGUAAGAAAUAGCAGCGGGUCUAAUAUCUGCUGCUGUAAUAUGUGGUCUUAUAUCAGAGCUAAUAAGAAAAUAAUCUAUUCUGCUUGCUAUGUUAAAGUUAUUUUUCCUUCUCCAGGUGAACUGUCUUUUGUUUGGGUUAAUUUCUCUCCAUAUAUCAACUAACUUAUGUUUUUUUAUUAAUUGUUUCAAACUAUUUACAGGUUUAUUAAAUUUUUGUGUACUUGUACUUUUUCUGUCGUUUUCAGUCAGACUUUCAUUUAUAUCCCCUCCAAGUAUUAAAAUGCCUAAUCUAUUAUUUUCAAUUAAGUUGUUUAUUUUUUUGAAGAAAGAAUUUCUAUUUCUUUGUAUAUUUGGUGCAUAAACAUUAACUAAAGUGAAGAUGUUAUUAUCAAGUUCUACAUUAAUUAGAAUAAACCUGCCCUCCUCAUCUUUAAUUUCAUUUAUUAUUUUGUGAUUUAUGUUUUCUUUAAUUAAAAUUGAAACACCUCUGGAUAGGGAAUUGCCAAAGCUAUGGUAUAUCUUACAUUUAGUUUCACUAUUUAUUACAUUUAUGUUUUUAUCGGUGAAAUGGGACUCUUGAAUAAACAAGAUGUCACAUUUUUGAUUUUCACACCAAAUAUAUAGUCUGUCUCGCUUUUCUUUUUUUCCUAGCCCUUGGCAGUUCAAGGAGCAAAUAUUUAAAUUAUUACUCAUCUAAAUAAUGAACUAUACAUGUAUUAGCAAAGAUUACUACAGAGAUAUACAUCAUAACAAACUGUUUUAAGUUGUUGUAUACAAUACAACUAUGACUAAACGUAUAAUAGUAGUAAUGCAUGAGUAUAUAUAAUAUAUAUGUAUCAUUAUAAUAUGUGUUUUUUACAAUAAUACAGUUUUGUACUUGUGCCUGUAUGUAUAUAGGAGCUUGAUUUUCAGAAAUUACUUUUUCUAUUUUCAGAUAUUUGAAUUGUUCAAUAAGGAGUGUUCGAGUGCUCAACAACAUUAUAACUGUGAUCAAAUGAAAUAUAUUCUCAACAGUUUUUGAUGACGUCUUAAAUUUUCCAUACAUUUGAACCUGGAAAUGAUAUCUUUUUGUGUAGAAUUCUUUGGAGAUUUUUAAAUGUUCACUUAACGCUGCUGUACAUGUGUGUAUCAUGUGUUUUAAUAAGAUAUGGAUCUGUACUUCAAGUGAAUAUACUGCGUCAAAAUGAUUAGCAUAGCUGGUUGUGGAAUAUGUGUGUCUUGAUAGUAUGGUGCAAAAAUAUAUGAGUGCAAUUCGUUUCGUACUUCCUGUGUGUGAUGCGGUAUAUGGUGAUAUACUACAUGUAGUUGCGUACCAUAUUUGCAAUUUCGUAGGAAUAUGAAGUGGUUGGUAUAUUUUCCGAUUAUCCUUGUUUGAAUUGCAGAAAAUAGAAGAUUUGUUUGUACAAUCAGUGCUUACGUGUAAUAAAAGCAUUUUGGUGAUGAACCGAAUUAAACAAAUGCAGCCUAAUGACGUGGAUAGUAGAACUAGUGAUCGUUUCAUUUUGUUAACUAGUGAAUAAAAGUUUUUUCUUUUUGUUGGUUUAAUGCUUGUUUUAAAAUUAUCUGUUUCUUUCAGACAUAUGUUUUUGUUGGUAUUUUGUGAAUAAACAUACAUAUAAGAUAAAUUACAUAUUACACUGUUUUCUAUUUCUACAUCAUCAUGAUCAUCAAUUGAGAACAUAUGAUCUAGUUUUGUGUCAUAUUUCUCUUUUUGAUUGGUUAAUAUACAUGUACUACUCUUAUC